ensembl:rRNA 5S_rRNA 5S ribosomal RNA
UCUGGCGGCCAUAGCGAUACGGCACCACCUGAAUCCAUUCCGAACUCAGUAGUGAAACGUAUUAGCGGCGAUGGUAGUGUAGGGCUUCCCUAUGCGAGAGUAGCACACCGCCAGGC